AUGCCAUGGUGUGAACAUUCUCUUUGUAGGUCUUUAUAUCUUUCCCAUGCGUCAUAGAAUGAUUCUCCUUCCUUUUUUUUGAAAGUAUUUAGCUCCAACCUUAGUUU